rnacentral:rRNA from 1 species
GAUGCAGUAAAACGCAUUGGAGGACCGAACCUACUAAUGUUGCAAUAUUAGAGGAUGAGUUGUGGCUAGGAGUGAAAGGCUAAUCAAACCUGGAUAUAGCUGGUUCUCCGCGAAAUCUAUUUAAGUAGACCGUCAUGUUAAAUACUACCGGGGGUAGAGCACUGAAUAAGCUAGGGGGGUGAAUAACUUUACCAAACUUAACCAAACUCCGAAUACCGGUGUGUAGUUUCAUGGCAGACACACUGCAGGUGCUAAGAUCUGUAGUGAAGAGGGAAAGAGCCCAGACCGUAGUAUAAGGUCCCUAAAUUAUGACUAAGUGCAUAGUAAGGAAGUGGAAAGACCAAGACAGCUAGGAAGUAGGCUUAGAAGCAGCCACCUUUUAAAGAAAGCGUAACAGCUCACUAGUCUAAUUAAGUUUUUCUGCGCCGGUAAUGUACGGGGCUUAAGUCAUAUACCGAAGACACGGGUGUUAUUCGAAUACUCUUUAGUUAAGUUUGUAUCUUUGAUAUUUAAUGUAUCUAUUAAGUUAUAUCUUUUUAAUUAAAUUGUUUAAUUAUAAUUUGUAUCAAAAAGGCAGCGAAUAAUGCGGUAGCGGAGCGUUCUGUAAGUCUGUGAAGGUGUUCCGGGAGGAAUGCUGGAGAUAUCAGAAGUGAGAAUGUUGACAUGAGUAGCGAUAAAGAGUGUGAAAAACACUCUCGCCGUAAACCCAAGGUUUCCUGCGUCAAGUUAAUCUGCGCAGGGUUAGUCGGUACCUAAGGCGAGGCCAAAAGGAGUAGUCGAUGGAAAUCAGGUUAAUAUUCCUGAACCUGUGAGUAGUGACGAGUCUGUGAAUCAUCUUUUCUUAUUGGAUUGGAAGGGUGGCUAAAAGGCUCCAGGAAAUAGCUCUCACAUUAAGGCCGUACCGUAAACCGACACAGGUGGGUGGGUAUAGCAUACUAAGGCGCUUGAGAGAACGAUGUUGAAGGAACUCGGCAAAAUACAUCUGUAACUUAGGGAUAAAGAUGGUCAUUAUUUGGGCAACCAGAUAGUGAUGGCACAUAAGAGGGAGUGGCGACUGUUUAUUAAAAACACAGGGCUCUGCUAACACGUAAGUGGAUGUAUAGGGCCUGACGCCUGCCCGGUGCUGGAAGGUUAAGAGGAGGAGUGCAAGCUUUAAAUUGAAGCCCCAGUAAACGGCGGCCGUAACACUGACGGUCCUAAGGUAGCGAAAUUCCUUGUCGGGUAAGUUCCGACCCGCAUGAAUGGCGUAACGAUCACUUCGCUGUCUCCAACAUCGACUCAGCGAAAUUGAAUUCCUCGUGAAGAUGCGAGGUUACCGCGGUUAGACGAAGAGACCCCGUGCACCUUUACUAUAGCUUUAUAUUGGUAUUAAGUUUUUGAUGUGCAGGAUAGGUGGGAAACUAUGAAGGUAAGUCGUCAGAUUUACUGGAGUUGUCCUUGAGAUACCACCCUUUAAGAAUUUGAUAUCUAACCAGGUUCCAUUAUCUGGAAUUGGGACAUUGUAU